CGAAGCUAUGGGAUGUAAAAAUACAUUGGUAGGAGAGCAUUCCACUUUAGAAGAAAGCCCUCGUGUGAGCAGUGGUAGAUGAAGCGAAAGCAAGAAUGUCGACUUGAGUAAUACAAACAUUGGUGAGAAUCCAAUGUCUCGAAAACCUAAGGGUUCCUCCGGAAGGUUCAUCCAUGGAGGGUGAGUCAAGGACGUAGUCGAUGGACAAUAGGUGAAUAUUCCUGUACUAUCCCUUGUUGGUCCAGAGAGACGGAGGAGGCUAGGUUAGCCAAAAGCUGGUUAUCAGUUCAAGAACAUAAGGUACCCCUGCUUUUUCAAGGUAAGAAGGAGUAGAAAAAAUGCCUCGAGCCAAUGUUCGAGCACCAGGGGCUACAGCGCUGAAGUAACCCAUAAUAUACUCCCAGGAAAAGCUUGAACGACCUUUAAACAAAAGGGUACCCAUACCCAAAACUGACACAGGUAGGUAGGUAGAGAAUGGGCAUGAAUCAACUCUCUCUAAGGAACUCGACAAAAUAGCCCCGCAACUUCGGGGGAAGGGGUGCUUCCUCACAAAGGGGGUCGUAGUGAUAAGCACGGGUGACUAUUUCCUAAAAAUACAGGUCUUCACAAAGUCGUAAGACCAUGUACGCUGACACGUGCCCAGUACCGAAAGGUCAAGGAGUUGGUGACCUGAUGAUAGGAGAGCUAACGACCGAAGCCCCG
rnacentral:lncRNA from 1 species